UACGUAGGGGGCAAGCGUUGUCCGGAAUUAUUGGGCGUAAAGAGCUUGUAGGCGGUUUGUCGCGUCUGCUGUGAAAAUCCGGGGCUCAACCCCGGACUUGCAGUGGGUACGGGCAGACUAGAGUGUGGUAGGGGAGACUGGAAUUCCUGGUGUAGCGGUGGAAUGCGCAGAUAUCAGGAGGAACACCGAUGGCGAAGGCAGGUCUCUGGGCCACUACUGACGCUGAGAAGCGAAAGCGUGGGGAUCAAACAGG
rnacentral:rRNA from 1 species